UACAGAGGUCUCAAGCGUUGUUCGGAUUCAUUGGGCGUAAAGGGUGCGUAGGUGGCGGGGCAAGUUUGGUGUGAAAUCCCGGGGCUCAACCCUGGAACUGCACUGAAUACUGCUUUGCUAGAGUACUGGAGAGGGAACUGGAAUUUACGGUGUAGCAGUGAAAUGCGUAGAUAUCGUAAGGAAGACCAGUGGCGAAGGCGGAUCUCUGGACAGUUACUGACACUGAGGCACGAAGGCCAGGGGAGCAAACGGG
rnacentral:rRNA from 1 species